UUUCCCCCCACCGUCAAUCUACCGCCAUCGCGGCGCUCCGCGCGUUUCGCACUACUGCCAACUGCAGCACAUCGAAACUCGCCGGCGUGGCCGCGUCACCGGUGUUCGUCCGAUCCUUUUCUCGCGUCUCGUUUCGUUGUAUCGUGCGCUCGCCGAAUCGGCCGUCUUCGUCGGGUCGGCGGCGCGACCAUUCGCUUUCUCUCGCUCGCGUCCAACGUCGACCGAAGCGACGCCGAAUCUCGCGCGUGUGUUGAGUGGCGGCAACGCAGACAGGCGCGGCCGCCGGAGCCCCCAUCGUUCGGUGCGGCUGACGGCAGCGCCGCCCAUCGGCGACUACCCUCAGUUUCGGGCAAGAUGGGCGCACCUCGCCGGGCAGUAGCUUAGUCUCUACCUACAAGACAACACACACAUUAAAUGUUUCCUAUAGUAACAAUUAACCAAUUGUACAUUAAUCUUAUUUAAGGGAAACACGGAGGAGAGAGAGAAAGAAAGACACUCCACACGCUCCGUACUACACGUUCUACACGCAAGCUCUAUUUUUGUAAUAACGCGCCGUAAAUUAAAAAGUAGUGUGUGCUCACCCCGCGAGGCAACGCGGUGUAUAAUUUGUACGACCAUUGAGAUAGGAAGGAAAGAGCCGUUCUAUCGUGGAAGAGGGUAUCGAGAUAGAGAAGUGGUGCGCGGGAAAACGAGGAGAACCGUAAACGAGACGACGGAGGAAGAAGUGAACGAGAAAGCGGCAGAGGAGUAUUAGAGAAAAAGGAGCGGCCGUUUGUGUGUGUGCGUAUGUGUAUGUAUGUGUGUGGUGCGCGUGUGUGAAGCAACGGCUAGUAGUUUAGCUUGGUGGUGAUCGUCGUGACGGCGACGGCAACGGCAUCGUCGACGUCGGCGCCGAGAGUGAGCGAGGCGCUAGGAGGUCGUCCCGCUGGUUUCGUUCUCCGCGGGAACGGAGCGACUAGGAGAGAAAUUCGGAGGAUCGUCCCGGCGAUCUACGGCGGUUUCGUGCCGACGCGACGCCGCCUCCGACGCUCGGCGACAGUAGCGGCCGGGCAGCGGCGGCAACGGCAGCGACGGCAGCAACGGCAUCGCGUUUGAAACGAUUGUCCCAUCAGUGCCGGCGGUGAGCGAGGAAACUCGUCGCGCGGUGUUGCAGUGCGGCAAGUGACAACGUCGUCGGCCGCGGAACGGACGAGGACGUGCGAAGGAACGGCGAGAACGAGGAAACGCCGACGAACGAGUGGAAGAGGCGGAGGAGGAGGAGGAGGUGGAGGAGGAAGCGACGGCUGUGCGGGAGGUAAAAAAGGAGGAGGAGGUGAAGGAACCAGAGUGGCGGCGCGAAAGCGACCGGCGGCGACGGCUGACGGUGGUUUUUAGGCUGCGCAGCGUCGCGCCGGCGUAUUUUGUUAUUGUUAUUCUCAUCGGCGGCUGUAGUAGCUUCUAUCGUUCACCGACGACGUGACGGAUUCCUCUACUUUCUACUGUAACAACCACAUCGCGACCAUGUCUGUGAGAAUGGAAAACGUGGCCGCGCGGAAGAUCAAUUAUAAAAUGAUGAAUACGAAUGGACCGAGGCCGACGUAUGUGGGCGCCAACAAUGGUAACGCCGGCGGCGCCGGAGGCGGUGGCGGAGGCGGUGGCGGUGGUGGUAGCGGCGGCG